AAAAAAAAAAAUAUAUAUUAAUAAUAAGAGGCAAUGCCUCUUUUUCUCUCAGAACCGAGAGAAGGAAAGAAGAGAAAGAAAAGAUGGGGAAACUUUUCUCAUUUUUGCGAUCUACGGAGAUCCAACGGUUUGAUCUUCAAUCCGUCUACGGAAACGUAAUCCUUGAAGCCCGAUCUACGUUUUGACCGAACUUUUUAAGGAUAGUGUCCGGAUUGGAGACUUUAAUGGGUUCUCCAAUGUAGAGUUCGAGUCAUGUGUCCAAUGCAGCCAAGACAUUUAUACUUUGGUUGCAGGUUUUGCGGAUAUAAAUAUUGACUCGUCCACCUAGCAUAUGGGAUGCUAUGAUUGGAGCAUAUCGCGACAGUCAUAAGUCACGGACUCAUGGGUAGUCCGCAUUUUGGGUAUUAUAUUUAUGGCUCGUGUCCUACGUGGCACACGUAUUUGUUAGGCCUGUAUUUUGGUAUGUAAUUAGUGUAAUGUGUUUUAUAAGCCUUAAAUAGAUAGACUUGUAAAUGGCUCUUGUUGUUGAUUACAGUUAUGUAUUAGAUGUAAUUCCGCUAUUGAUAUGUGUUCCGCUGCACAUUGAUAUUUA